rnacentral:rRNA from 1 species
GACGAACGCUGGCGGCGUGCCUAAUACAUGCAAUUAGAACGCACAGUUUAUACCGUAGCUUGCUACACCAUAAACUGUGAGUUGCGAACGGGUGAGUAACGCGUAGGUAACCUGCCUGGUAGCGUGGGAUAACUAUUGGCAACUAUAGCUAAUACCGCAUAAUAUUGAUUAUUGCAUGAUAAUUGAUUUAAAGAUGCUAUUUCAUCACUACCAGAUGGACCUGCGUUGUAUUAGCUAGUAGGUGAGGUAACGGCUCACCUAGGCGACGAUACAUAGCCGACCUGAGAGGGUGAUCGGCCACACUGGGACUGAGACACGGCCCAGACUCCUACGGGAGGCAGCAGUAGGGAAUCUUCGGCAAUGGACGAAAGUCUGAACGAGCAAAGCCGCGUGAGUGAAGAAGGUUUUCGGAUCGUAAAGCUCGGUUGUAAGAGAAGAAAGGGUGUGAGAGUGGAAAGUUCACACUGUGACGGUAUCUUACCAGAAAGGGACGGCUAACUACGUG